UACCUAGGGGCAGCAACUAGUGCCUGUGA
rnacentral:piRNA from 1 species